rnacentral:rRNA from 1 species
CAAGGAAUUUUCCCCAAUGGGCGCAAGCCUGAGGGAGCAACGCCGCGUGCAGGACGACGGCCUUCGGGUUGUAAACUGCUUUUGCGUGGGACGAUAACGACGGUACCACGCGAAUCAGCCCCGGCUAACUCUGUGCCAGCAGCCGCGGUAAUACGGAGGGGGUUAGCGUUGUUCGGAAUUACUGGGCGUAAAGCGCACGUAGGCGGACUAUUAAGUCAGGGGUGAAAUCCCGGGGCUCAACCCCGGAACUGCCUUUGAUACUGGUAGUCUUGAGUUCGAGAGAGGUGAGUGGAAUUCCGAGUGUAGAGGUGAAAUUCGUAGAUAUUCGGAGGAACACCAGUGGCGAAGGCGGCUCACUGGCUCGAUACUGACGCUGAGGUGCGAAAGCGUGGGGAGCAAACAGGAUUAGAUACCCCCGUAGUCC